rnacentral:rRNA from 1 species
UACGGGGGGAGCAAGCGUUGUUCGGAUUUACUGGGCGUAAAGGGCGCGUAGGCGGCGUAACAAGUCACUUGUGAAAUCUCCGGGCUUAACUCGGAGCGGCCAAGUGAUACUGUUGUGCUAGAGUGCGGAAGGGGCUACUGGAAUUCUCGGUGUAGCGGUGAAAUGCGUAGAUAUCGAGAGGAACACCUGCGGCGAAGGCGGGUAGCUGGGCCGACACUGACGCUGAUGCGCGAAAGCCAGGGGAGCGAACGGG